rnacentral:rRNA from 1 species
UACGUAGGGGGCUAGCGUUGUCCGGAAUCACUGGGCGUAAAGAGCUCGUAGGCGGUCUGUCGCGUCUGCUGUGAAAACUCAGGGCUUAACCCUGAGCUUGCAGUGGGUACGGGCAGACUAGAGUGCGGUAGGGGAGACUGGAAUUCCUGGUGUAGCGGUGAAAUGCGUAGAUAUCCGGAAGGAACACCAGUGGCGGAAGGCGACUUUCUGGCCUGUUCGUUGACGCUGAGGCGG